UACGAAGGGUGCAAGCGUUACUCGGAAUCACUGGGCGUAAAGCGCACGUAGGCGGAUAUGUCAGUCAGGGGUGAAAUCCCGGGGCUCAACCUCGGAACUGCCCUUGAUACAGCAUAUCUUGAGUCCGAUAGAGGUGGGUGGAAUUCCUAGUGUAGAGGUGAAAUUCGUAGAUAUUAGGAAGAACACCGGUGGCGAAGGCGGCCUUCUGGACAGUGACUGACGCUGAGACGCGAAAGCGUGGGGAGCAAACAGG
rnacentral:rRNA from 1 species